rnacentral:rRNA from 1 species
UCCCUGCUCCUUGCACACACCGCCCGUCAAACCACCCGAGUGAGGUCUUGAUGAGGCUGCGGUAUACGCCGUGGUCGAAUCUGGGUUUCGCGAAGGGGGGUU